rnacentral:rRNA from 1 species
UGGGGAAUAUUGCACAAUGGGCGCAAGCCUGAUGCAGCCAUGCCGCGUGUAUGAAGAAGGCCUUCGGGUUGUAAAGUACUUUCAGCGGGGAGGAAGGGAGUAAAGUUAAUACCUUUGCUCAUUGACGUUACCCGCAGAAGAAGCACCGGCUAACUCCGUGCCAGCAGCCGCGGUAAUACGGAGGGUGCAAGCGUUAAUCGGAAUUACUGGGCGUAAAGCGCACGCAGGCGGUUUGUUAAGUCAGAUGUGAAAUCCCCGGGCUAAACCUGGGAACUGCAUCUGAUACUGGCAAGCUUGAGUCUCGUAGAGGGGGGUAGAAUUCCAGGUGUAGCGGUGAAAUGCGUAGAGAUCUGGAGGAAUACCGGUGGCGAAGGCGGCCCCCUGGACGAAGACUGACGCUCAGGUGCGAAAGCGUGGGGAGCAAACA